rnacentral:rRNA from 1 species
AUACGGAGGGUGCAAGCGUUGUUCGGAAUUAUUGGGCGUUAAAGCGCGUGUAGGCGGUUUCUUAAGUCUGAUGUGAAAGCCCCGGGCUCAACCUGGGAGGUGCAUUGGAAACUGGGAGACUUGAGUACGGGAGAGGGUAGUGGAAUUCCUAGUGUAGGAGUGAAAUCCGUAGAUAUUAGGAGGAACACCGGUGGCGAAGGCGGCUACCUGGACCGAUACUGACGCUGAGACGCGAAAGCGUGGGGAGC